GCGGGAAUAGCUCAGUUGGUAGAGCAUAACCUUGCCAAGGUUAGGGUCGCGAGUUCGAGUCUCGUUUCCCGCUCGA
rnacentral:tRNA from 2 species